rnacentral:rRNA from 1 species
UACAGAGGUCUCAAGCGUUGUUCGGAUUCAUUGGGCGUAAAGGGUGCGUAGGUGGCGGGGUAAGUCUGGUGUGAAAUCUCGGGGCUCAACCCCGAAACUGCACUGGAUACUGCCUUGCUUGAGUACUGGAGAGGAGAUUGGAAUUCCUGGUGUAGCGGUGAAAUGCGCAGAUAUCGGGAAGAACACCCGUGGCGAAGGCGGUUCUCUGGGACGGUACUGACGCUGAGACGCGAAAGCGUGGGGAGCGAACAGG